rnacentral:rRNA from 1 species
UACAGAGGUCUCAAGCGUUGUUCGGAUUCAUUGGGCGUAAAGGGUGCGUAGGUGGUGAGGUAAGUCGGAUGUGAAAUCUCGGAGCUCAACUCCGAAAUGGCAUUGGAAACUACCUUGCUCGAGGGUUGGAGGGGGGACUGGAAUACUUGGUGUAGCAGUGAAAUGCGUAGAUAUCAAGUGGAACACCAGUGGCGAAGGCGAGUCCCUGGACAACUCCUGACACUGAGGCACGAAAGCUAGGGGAGCAAACAGG